AGUGGCAACAUGGAGGCCUCAAAACAAGUCACAAAAGACCUGAAAACAAAGAUUGUUCAGCAUUAUGGUUUAGGGGAAGGAUACAAAAUGUUAUCGCAGAGAUAAAAGCUGUUAGACUCCACUGUGAGGAACAUAGUGAGGAAAUGGAAGACAACAGGAACAGUUCUUGUUAAGGGCAGAAGUGGCAGGCAACGUAAAAUAUUUGAGAGGCAAAGGCGAAGGAUGGUGAGAACGGUCGAAAACAGCCCACAGACCACCUCCAAAAGACCUACAACAUCAACUUGCUGCAGAUGGUGUCACUGUGCAUCGUUCAACAAUUCAGCUCACUUUGCACAAGUUGAAGCUGUACGGGAGGGUGAUGCGAAAGAAGCCUUUUCUGCACACACGCCUUGAGUCGCUUUAGGAUAAUGGAAUUCAUGUGGUUCUGCUUGGAUGGUUUGUCCGCGUUCCGGUGUGUGUACCAGG